UACGAGAGGCCCGAGCGUUAUCCGGAGUUACUGGGCGUAAAGGGUGUGUAGGGGGUUGUGUUAGUCUUUGUUUAAAUCCUUGGGCCUAACCCAAGAACUGGCGAAGAUACGGCACAACUAGAGGAUGUGAGAGGCGAGUGGAACUCAUGGUGGAGGGGUGAAAUCCGUUGAUAUCAUGGGGAACACCAAAGGCGAAGGCAGCUCGCUGGCGCAUACCUGACCCUGAAACACGAAAGCGUGGGGAUCAAAAAGG
rnacentral:rRNA from 1 species